rnacentral:rRNA from 1 species
GAUUGAACGCUGGCGGCAUGCCUUACACAUGCANNNNGAACGGCAGCGCGGGAGCAAUCCUGGCGGCGAGUGGCGAACGGGUGAGUAAUACAUCGGAACGUGCCCAAUCGUGGGGGAUAACGCAGCGAAAGCUGUGCUAAUACCGCAUACGAUCUACGGAUGAAAGCAGGGGAUCGCAAGACCUUGCGCGAAUGGAGCGGCCGAUGGCAGAUUAGGUAGUUGGUGAGGUAAAGGCUCACCAAGCCUUCGAUCUGUAGCUGGUCUGAGAGGACGACCAGCCACACUGGGACUGAGACACGGCCCAGACUCCUACGGGAGGCAGCAGUGGGGAAUUUUGGACAAUGGGCGAAAGCCUGAUCCAGCCAUGCCGCGUGCAGGAUGAAGGCCUUCGGGUUGUAAACUGCUUUUGUACGGAACGAAACGGCCUUUUCUAAUAAAGAGGGCUAAUGACGGUAC